rnacentral:lncRNA from 1 species
UUUUGCUCUGGGUUCCCAUAGGUUUUCACUGCCAGCAGGUGAUGAUGUUGCUCUGUUAAUGGUGUGUGCAUGCGGUGGGUCAGGAGGUGCUGGGAAAUGAGCAGCGCUAUCAUUUGGAUUUGUACCUUCCAGAGAACAAAAUGUUGCCCUCUCCCACAUGCUGACCCCCACCCUCUCUGCCCCCAAAUUAGAGCUCUGUCCUCCUGUAGGGCUGCACAGGAUUAUAUAGGGGCAAACACCAAAUAGCCAACCCAGUUUCCAUUUUGUUUCAGGUAAGGCUUCUUCCAGACCCAUGACAGCCUUGUGGACACGCAGGUAUUUGGGUGGGGAGUGCAUUGAAGCAGCAGCUGCUGUGAGUCCCUGGCAUGCCUGGAGGUGGAGGCGUGGGACCUAUUGGCACUCCCACCCCAUAAGCCCAAGGGCAGUGAGCUGACACAACUCUCCUGGAAUCUGUCCCACUCUAACCAGGAUUGUUGGCAGGCGGGUACCGAAUCUUGGCAGCACAACAAGAGAACUCUGGUUUCUCUGAAAUUCCUGGGCUCGUUUGGUCAGGGUGCUGGCAUGCAGAGCCAGGGCAGAGUUGGCACGUGUAUGGCUGCAGCAGAGCAGUAGGGCCUGGAGAUGGACUGAGGGCUGGCAGCUCAGGGUCUUUCCUGUAUCCCUCCCAGCUGGUAGCAGCUUUAGGGAUGCGGUGCCAUACCAGGACUGGGAGCCACUGGGUUAGUAGGCUGUCAGCCUCAUCUCGACAGUUCUGGCUGUGCUGGGGAUUCCACAGUGACUGGGAAAUGCAUGGAGCUCCCUCCAGCUCGUUCCUCUAAACCAAAGGAUUGAGGGAGCUCCAUUUCCCAGCAUCUGAGUUCUUGGGCUG